UACAUAGGUCUCAAGCGUUGUUCGGAUUCAUUGGGCGUAAAGGGUGCGUAGGCGGCUCGGUAAGUCGGGUGUGAAAUCUCGGAGCUUAACUCCGAAACUGCAUUCGAUACUGCCGUGCUUGAGGACUGGAGAGGAGACUGGAAUUUACGGUGUAGCGGUGAAAUGCGUAGAUAUCGGAAGGAAGACCAGUGGCGAAGGCGGGUCUCUGGACAGUUCCUGACGCUGAGGCACGAAGGUCAGGGGAGCAAACGGG
rnacentral:rRNA from 1 species